CUACGGGGCGCUGCAGUGAGGAAUUUUGCGCAAUGGGGGAAACCCUGACGCAGCAACGCCGCGUGAGUGAUGAAGGCUUUCGGGUCGUAAAGCUCUGUCAAGUGGGAAGAAAAUGCUAGAUGCUAAUACCAUCUUGCACUGACGGUACCACUGAAGGAAGCACCGGCUAACUCCGUGCCAGCAGCCGCGGUAAUACGGGGGGUGCAAGCGUUAUUCGGAUUUAUUGGGCGUAAAGGGCGCGUAGGCGGUCUUUUAAGUCAGAUGUGAAAGCCCGGGGCUUAACCCCGGAAGUGCAUUUGAAACUAAGGGACUGGAGUAUGGGAGAGGGAAGUGGAAUUCCUGGUGUAGAGGUGAAAUUCGUAGAUAUCAGGAGGAACACCGGUGGCGAAGGCGACUUCCUGGACCAAUACUGACGCUAAGGCGCGAAGGCGUGGGGAGCAAACAGGAUUAGAUACCCUCGUAGUC
rnacentral:rRNA from 1 species